rnacentral:rRNA from 1 species
GUGGGGAAUAUUGGACAAUGGGCGAAAGCCUGAUCCAGCCAUGCCGCGUGUGUGAAGAAGGUCUUCGGAUUGUAAAGCACUUUAAGUUGGGAGGAAGGGCUGUAAGUUAAUACCUUGCUGUUUUGACGUUACCGACAGAAUAAGCACCGGCUAACUACGUGCCAGCAGCCGCGGUAAUACGAAGGGUGCAAGCGUUAAUCGGAAUUACUGGGCGUAAAGCGCGCGUAGGUGGUUUUGUAAGUUGGAGGUGAAAGCCCCGGGCUCAACCUGGGAACUGCCUCCAAAACUGCAUGACUAGAGUACGGUAGAGGGUAGUGGAAUUUCCUGUGUAGCGGUGAAAUGCGUAGAUAUAGGAAGGAACACCAGUGGCGAAGGCGACUACCUGGACUGAUACUGACACUGAGGUGCGAAAGCGUGGGGAGCAAACAGGAUUAGAUACCCCAGUAGUCC